AUUGAACGCUGGCGGCAGGCCUAACACAUGCAAGUCGAGCGGCUGCAGGGAGCUUGCUCCUGGUUUCAGCGGCCGACGGGUGAGUAAUGCCUAGGAAUCUGCCUGGUAGUUGGUGAUAACGUCCGGAAACGGGCGCUCAUACCGCAUACGUCCUGAGGGAGAAAGUGUGGAAUCUUCGGACCUCACGCUAUCAGAUGAGCCUAGGUCGGAUUAGCUAGUUGGUGGGGUAAAGGCCUACCAAGGCGACGAUCCGUAACUGGUCUGAGAGGAUGAUCAGUCACACUGGAACUGAGACACGGUCCAGACUCCUACGGGAGGCAGCAGUGGGGAAUAUUGGACAAUGGGCGAAAGCCUGAUCCAGCCAUGCCGCGUGUGUGAAGAAGGUCUUCGGAUUGUAAAGCACUUUUGGUGGGGAGGAAGAGCAGUAAGUUAAUACCUCGCUGUUUUGACGGUACCAACAGAAUAAGCACCGGCUAACUUCGUG
rnacentral:rRNA from 1 species